AGUGAACGCUGGCGGUAGGCCUAACACAUGCAAGUCGAACGGCAGCACAGUAAGAGCUUGCUCUUACGGGUGGCGAGUGGCGGACGGGUGAGGAAUACAUCGGAAUCUACUUUUUCGUGGGGGAUAACGUAGGGAAACUUACGCUAAUACCGCAUACGACCUACGGGUGAAAGCAGGGGAUCUUCGGACCUUGCGCGAUUGAAUGAGCCGAUGUCGGAUUAGCUAGUUGGCGGGGUAAAGGCCCACCAAGGCGACGAUCCGUAGCUGGUCUGAGAGGAUGACGAGAGACGGUGGAAGGGAGACACGGUCCAGACGCCAACGGGAGGCAGCAGUGGGGAAUGUUGGGGAAUGGGCGCAAGGCUGAUCCAGCCAUAGCGCGUGGGUGAAGAAGGCCUUCGGGUCGUACAGCCCUUUUGUUGGGGAAGAAAAGCAGCAGGUUAAUGCCACGCUGUUCUGACGAUACCCGAAGAAUAAGCACCGGCUAACUUCGUG
rnacentral:rRNA from 1 species